AAGAAGCACAACAAUCAUUCAUAUGAUGUUCUUUUGCAAGUGUGGAAGUUCAGGUGCCAUCAGCACCACCAGUAUUGACAUCACAUCAGCAGUUAUGAUCACUGUGAACCUCCUGCUCACGUCACAAGGACUUUUAUAAUGAGCAGCAUCUAAAUUAAUUCUCUGUUCCUCCUCAUAGUCAGUAACUGGACAUGGAACUGGACAAGGAAGAGUAGCUGGGAAUCUGUCCUCUGUCUAAACAUGAAACAUCCAGACAUACUUAGAUAUACUCUUUAAUAUGUUCUUUGGCGUAUUUUGCAUAUGCACAGUUUUGGUGAACCAUUUUUGUAAAAGAAGUGUGUGAGAGUGAAGAACUUUUGUUAAAGUUUAAAGGACAACCACAUAAUGUAAAGGUUUAUGUAGCGUAAAUGUUUUCAAGAAGAACCUUUACAUUCGAUGAAGGUUCUUCACACUCUCAACAUACACACACUUCUUCUAUGAAGAUCUAUCACUCACACCUUUGUGGUACCUUUAUUUGAAGAGUGUAAAUAACAGGCCUUGGAUAGUAAGUUGCACCUGGGAAAUGGACACAUUAGCACAGCACAACAUCCUCUACUCUCAUUUCUACAUUAUGUAUUCUGAAUCCAGUAAUCUAAACCACGUCUCUUGUGACUGUAGGUUUCAUUAUCGCUAUUGCUGUGCUGGUCGGGGUGCUGCUGAUAGUUUUGGCUCUGUUUCUACAGAGAUGCUAUUUCAAAAGGAAAGGUGAGAGAUUGUGUUAAAAUGACAAGCUGCAUUCCAACAUCUUCAACAUACCAGUAAUAAAUUUCAUUUUAAUCAACACAUCAUCCUGUACUGAACUGUCUGUCUUACUGUUCUCAGCUGCCAGAGCCAAGAAGACUGAUCAUGUCUACGAAACCAUAAAUGACGCUGCACCGACCACACAGCCUGCAUCUUCUCCUCCAAAGGAAUAUGAAGCCAUUUACGUGCUGGCAGGGGAUCCAGAUGUCAUAAAACUGGGCUUGAAGAACCAAAAUGC